UACGUAGGGUGCGAGCGUUAAUCGGAAUUACUGGGCGUAAAGCGUGCGCAGGCGGUUCGUUAAGUUCGUUGUGAAAGCCCCGGGCUUAACCUGGGAACUGCGUUUGAAACUGGGAGACUUGAGUGUGGCAGAGGGGGGUGGAAUUCCACGUGUAGCAGUGAAAUGCGUAGAUAUGUGGAGGAACACCGAUGGCGAAGGCAGCCCCCUGGGUUAACACUGACGCUCAUGCACGAAAGCGUGGGGAGCAAACAGG
rnacentral:rRNA from 1 species